rnacentral:rRNA from 1 species
CCUUGUACACACCGCCCGUCAAGCCACGAAAGUGGGGGGUAUCCGAAGUCGCUGAGGCAACCGCAAGGGCCAGGCGCCUAAGAUAAACUCUGCGAUUGGGACU